ACUCCUACGGGAGGCAGCAGUGGGGAAUAUUGGACAAUGGGGCAGGCCUAGCAUGCAGCCAUGCCGCGUGUAUGAAGAAGGCCUUCGGGUUGUAAAGUACUUUCAGCAGUGAGGAAGGUGGGUAUGUUAAUAGCAUACUCAUUUGACGUUAGCUGCAGAAGAAGCACCGGCUAACUCCGUGCCAGCAGCCGCGGUAAUACGGAGGGUGCGAGCGUUAAUCGGAAUUACUGGGCGUAAAGCGCAUGCAGGUGGUUUGUUAAGUCAGAUGUGAAAGCCC
rnacentral:rRNA from 1 species